CUCGUUAGAAACCCUUAAAUACGCAAUGCGUGAAUAAAUACAGUUAGAACAAGGCAUCAGGGGCAGGCGCAUGCUCCAAGCCAAAGUGUGAUGGACCCACCAGCUGCCGGUCAAACAAGUCAAUCCAAGCCCAAUCUGCUAGUACACAAAGCAAAUUUAAGAGGAUGCGGCUAGAGCUUCCGGGGCCGGUCCCACUCUCGCUCCGCAGUGGCCCGCUUUCUCUGUUGCGUGAACCGUCCCAAGGCUGCUGAGCGAACGUACGGAAUCCAAACGACCACGAGGCGCCCCGGCGUCGGAGCCCUCGCAUCCUCCAGCCGCUCCGGUCUGUUCUGGGUCUUGCCAGCCACCUCCACCCGGCGCUGCCUCUCCCUAGGUCUUGCCGUGUCCCAGGGCUUCUCAAAUUCUGCAACUUUCUUGUUUAUUCAAUGAAACAAGCAUACAUCGGUUUAUGGUCUACCUACCCAUUGUAAACCUCACUCUGUCCAGUGCAGAGCACUCUGUCCAGCUUGUCUAAAAGUCACCUGCUUUUAUUCAUCCGGAGCUUAAUGAACACUCGUCGGAUGAAUAGUAGGCUUCACACCCAGCACAGAGCCCAGAUCAGGGCU